CAUGCAAGUCGAGCGGUAAGGCCCUUCGGGGUACACGAGCGGCGAACGGGUGAGUAACACGUGGGUGACCUGCCCUUCACUCUGGGAUAAGCCUGGGAAACUGGGUCUAAUACCGGAUAGGACUACGCGAUGCAUGUCGUGUGGUGGAAAGCUUUUGCGGUGUGGGAUGGGCCCGCGGCCUAUCAGCUUGUUGGUGGGGUGAUGGCCUACCAAGGCGACGACGGGUAGCCGGCCUGAGAGGGUGUCCGGCCACACUGGGACUGAGACACGGCCCAGACUCCUACGGGAGGCAGCAGUGGGGAAUAUUGCACAAUGGGCGCAAGCCUGAUGCAGCGACGCCGCGUGAGGGAUGACUGCCUUCGGGUUGUAAACCUCUUUCAGCAGGGACGAAGCGCAAGUGACGGUACCUGCAGAAGAAGCACCGGCCAACUACGUGCCAGCAGCCGCGGUAAUACGUAGUGUGCGGGCGUUGUCCGGAAUUAUUGGGCGUAAAGGGCUCGUAGGCGGUCUGUCGCGUCGGGAGUGAAAACUCAGGGCUUAACCCUGAGCCUGCUUCCGAUACGGGCAGACUAGAGGUAUGCAGGGGAGAACGGAAUUCCUGGUGUAGCGGUGGAAUGCGCAGAUAUCAGGAGGAACACCGGUGGCGAAGGCGGUUCUCUGGGCAUUACCUGACGCUGAGGAGCGAAAGUGUGGGGAGCGAACAGGAUUAGAUACCCUGGUAGUCCACACCGUAAACGUUGGGCGCUAGGUGUGGGACUCAUUCCACGAGUUCCGUGCCGCAGCUAACGCAUUAAGCGCCCCGCCUG
rnacentral:rRNA from 1 species